AUUGAACGCUGGCGGCAUGCUUUACACAUGCAAGUCGAACGGCAGCACAGGGAGCUUGCUCCUGGGUGGCGAGUGGCGAACGGGUGAGUAAUGUAUCGGAACGUGCCUGGUAGUGGGGGAUAACUACUCGAAAGAGUGGCUAAUACCGCAUGAGAUCUUUGGAUGAAAGCGGGGGACCUUCGGGCCUCGUGCUACUGGAGCGGCCGAUAUCAGAUUAGGUUGUUGGUGGGGUAAAGGCCUACCAAGCCUGCGAUCUGUAGCUGGUCUGAGAGGGCGACCAGCCACACUGGGACUGAGACACGGCCCAGACUCCUACGGGAGGCAGCAGUGGGGAAUUUUGGACAAUGGGCGCAAGCCUGAUCCAGCAAUGCCGCGUGCAGGACGAAGGCCUUCGGGUUGUAAACUGCUUUUGUACAGAACGAAAAGUCUCUGGCUAAUAUCUAGAGAUCAUGACGGUACUGUAAGAAUAAGCACCGGCUAACUACGUG
rnacentral:rRNA from 1 species